CUCUGCCGAAAAGUGGGGGAUAUGCUCGCCGAAUAGGGGAAUUAAUACCGCUAUGUGGUGAGGGACGACAUCUUCCUGACAUCCAAAGCCGGGGCAAGCUGGUCGCUUAUUGAGGAGCCCGCGGCCUAUCAGCUAGUUGGCGGGGUAAUCGGCCCAACAAGGACUAUGACGGGUAGCUGGUCUGAGAGUGCACGAGCCAGUCACAGCUGGGAACUGAGGACACAGGUCCAGACACAAUACGGGUGGCAGCAGUCGAGAAUUUAACUCAAUGGAGGGAAACCCUGAAAGGAGCGACGACCAGCGUGGAGGAU
rnacentral:rRNA from 1 species